ensembl:misc_RNA Y_RNA Y RNA
AGCUGGUCUGAGUGCAGCGGUGUUUACAACUAAUUGAUCACAACCAGUUAACAGAUUUCUUUGCUCCUCCUCCACUCCCACUGCUUCACUUAACUAGUAAAAA